rnacentral:rRNA from 1 species
GAAACUGAGGCUAAUACCGGAUAGGCAAUUUUUCCUGUAAUGGUUUUUUGUUUAAAUGUUUUUUCGCCUAAGGAUGGGUCUGCGGCCGAUUAGGUAGUUGGUUAGGUAAUGGCUUACCAAGCCGUUGAUCGGUACGGGUUGUGAGAGCAAGAGCCCGGAGAUGGAACCUGAGACAAGGUUCCAGGCCCUACGGGGUGCAGCAGGCGCGAAACCUCCGCAAUGUGAGAAAUCGCGACGGGGGGAUCCCAAGUGCCAUUCUUAACGGGAUGGCUUUUCAUUAGUGUAAAAAGCUUUUGGAAUAAGAGCUGGGCAAGACCGGUGCCAGCCGCCGCGGUAACACCGGCAGCUCUAGUGGUAACAAUUUUUAUUGGGCCUAAAGCGUCCGUAGCCGGUUUAAUAAGUCUCUGGUGAAAUCCUGUAGCUUAACUGUGGGAAUUGCUGGAGAUACUAUUAGACUUGAGACCGGGAGAGGUUAGAGGUACUCCCAGGGUAGAGGUGAAAUUCUGUAAUCCUGGGAGGACCGCCUGUUGCGAAGGCGUCUAACUGGAACGGUUCUGACGGUGAGGGACGAAAGUUAGGGGCGCGAACCGGAUUAGAUACCCGGGUAGUCCUAACUGUAAACGAUGCGGACUUGGUGUUGGGGUGGCUUUGAGCUGCUCCAGUGCCGAAGGGAAGCUGUUAAGUCCGCCGCCUGGGAAGUACGGUCGCAAGACUGAAACUUAA